GAUGAACGCUGGCGGCGUGCCUAAUACAUGCAAGUCGAGCGAAUGACGAGGAGCUUGCUCCUCUGAUUUAGCGGCGGACGGGUGAGUAACACGUGGGUAACCUGCCUGUAAGACGGGGAUAACUCCGGGAAACCGGAGCUAAUACCGGAUGAUAACGAGAAGCGCCUGCUUCUUUUUUGAAAGUCGGUUUCGGCUGACGCUUACAGAUGGGCCCGCGGCGCAUUAGCUAGUUGGUGAGGUAACGGCUCACCAAGGCGACGAUGCGUAGCCGACCUGAGAGGGUGAUCGGCCACACUGGGACUGAGACACGGCCCAGACUCCUACGGGAGGCAGCAGUAGGGAAUCUUCGGCAAUGGACGAAAGUCUGACCGAGCAACGCCGCGUGAGCGAUGAAGGCCUUCGGGUCGUAAAGCUCUGUUGUCAGGGAAGAACAAGUACCGGAGUAACUGCCGGUACCUUGACGGUACUUGACCAGAAAGCCACGGCUAACUACGUGCCAGCAGCCGCAGUAA
rnacentral:rRNA from 1 species